GCUUAACACAUGCAAGUCGAGGGGCAGCAUGGUCUUAGCUUGCUAAGGCCGAUGGCGACCGGCGCACGGGUGAGUAACACGUAUCCAACCUGCCGUCUACUCUUGGACAGCCUUCUGAAAGGAAGAUUAAUACAAGAUGGCAUCAUGAGUCCGCAUGUUCACAUGAUUAAAGGUAUUCCGGUAGACGAUGGGGAUGCGUUCCAUUAGAUAGUAGGCGGGGUAACGGCCCACCUAGUCUUCGAUGGAUAGGGGUUCUGAGAGGAAGGUCCCCCACAUUGGAACUGAGACACGGUCCAAACUCCUACGGGAGGCAGCAGUGAGGAAUAUUGGUCAAUGGGCGAGAGCCUGAACCAGCCAAGUAGCGUGAAGGAUGACUGCCCUAUGGGUUGUAAACUUCUUUUAUAAAGGAAUAAAGUCGGGUAUGGAUACCCGUUUGCAUGUACUUUAUGAAUAAGGAUCGGCUAACUCCGUGCCAGCAGCCGCGGUAAUACGGAGGAUCCGAGCGUUAUCCGGAUUUAUUGGGUUUAAAGGGAGCGUAGAUGGAUGUUUAAGUCAGUUGUGAAAGUUUGCGGCUCAACCGUAAAAUUGCAGUUGAUACUGGAUAUCUUGAGUGCAGUUGAGGCAGGCGGAAUUCGUGGUGUAGCGGUGAAAUGCUUAGAUAUCACGAAGAACUCCGAUUGCGAAGGCAGCCUGCUAAGCUGCAACUGACAUUGAGGCUCGAAAGUGUGGGUAUCAAACAGGAUUAGAUACCCUGGUAGUCCACACGGUAAACGAUGAAUACUCGCUGUUUGCGAUAUACAGCAAGCGGCCAAGCGAAAGCGUUAAGUAUUCCACCUGGGGAGUACGCCGACAACGGUGAAACUCAAAGGAAUUGACGGGGGCCCGCACAAGCGGAGGAACAUGUGGUUUAAUUCGAUGAUACGCGAGGAACCCUACCCGGGCUUAAAUUGCAGAUGAAUUACGGUGAAAGCCGUAAGCCGCAAGGCAUCUGUGAAGGUGCUGCAUGGUUGUCGUCAGCUCGUGCCGUGAGGUGUCGGCUUAAGUGCCAUAACGAGCGCAACCCUUGUUGUCAGUUACUAACAGGUUCCGCUGAGGACUCUGACAAGACUGCCAUCGUAAGAUGUGAGGAAGGUGGGGAUGACGUCAAAUCAGCACGGCCCUUACGUCCGGGGCUACACACGUGUUACAAUGGGGGGUACAGAGGGCCGCUACCACGCGAGUGGAUGCCAAUCCCAAAAACCUCUCUCAGUUCGGACUGGAGUCUGCAACCCGACUCCACGAAGCUGGAUUCGCUAGUAAUCGCGCAUCAGCCACGGCGCGGUGAAUACGUUCCCGGACCUUGUACACACCGCCCGUCAAGCCAUGGGAGCCGGGGGUACCUGAAGUGCGUAACCGCGAGGAGCGCCCUAGGGUAAAACUGGUGACUGGGGCUAAGUCGU
rnacentral:rRNA from 1 species